AAAGUCGUAACAAGGUUUCCGUAGGUGAACCUGCGGAAGGAUCAUUACAAAAUAAUGAAGGUUUAUUUGGGUAUUGACUGUAAAAUGUUAUUAUUCAGGUACACUUAAUACCCACUCCCGAAAGGGAGAUGGAUGGUGUCUUCGGAUGCCGAUAUAAACUUUAAAUCAUGACUUAAUUUUCAAAAAAUUAAAUAAAACCACAACUUUUAACAAUGGAUCUCUUGGCUCCU
rnacentral:misc_RNA from 1 species